UACGGGGGGGGCAAGCGUUGUUCGGAAUUACUGGGCGUAAAGGGCUCGUAGGUGGCCAACUAAGUCAGACGUGAAAUCCCUCGGCUUAACCGGGGAACUGCGUCUGAUACUGGAUGGCUUGAGUUUGGGAGAGGGACGCGGAAUUCCAGGUGUAGCGGUGAAAUGCGUAGAUAUCUGGAGGAACACCGGUGGCGAAGGCGGCGUCCUGGACCGACACUGACACUGAGGAGCGAAAGCCAGGGGAGCAAACGGG
rnacentral:rRNA from 1 species